rnacentral:rRNA from 1 species
UACGAAGGGUGCAAGCGUUACUCGGAAUUACUGGGCGUAAAGCGUGCGUAGGUGGUUUGUUAAGUCUGUUGUGAAAGCCCCGGGCUCAACCUGGGAAUGGCAAUGGAUACUGGCAGGCUAGAGUGCGGUAGAGGGUAGUGGAAUUCCCGGUGUAGCGGUGAAAUGCGUAGAGAUCGGGAGGAACACCAGUGGUGAAGGCGAGUCUCUGGACAUUUCCUGACGCUGAGGCACGAAAGCCAGGGGAGCAAACGGG